CCUGCUCUCUCCACUCUGGAUCAGAGGCCUGCUCUCUCCUCUCCCCACUCUGGAUCAGACGCCUGCUCUCUCCCCACUCUGGAUCAGAGGCCCGCUCUCCCCUCUCCCCACUCUGGAUCAGACGCCUGCUCUCUCCCCACUCUGGAUCAGAGGCCUGCUCUCUCCACUCUGGAUCAGAGGCCUGCUCUCUCCUCCCCCACUCUGGAUCAGAGGCCUGCUCUCCCCACUCACUCUGGAUCAGAGGCCUGCUCUCUCCACUCACUCUGGAUCAGAGGCCUGCUCUCCCCACUCACUCUGGAUCAGAGGCCUGCUCUCCCCACUCUGGAUCAGAGGCCUGCUCUCCCCACUCUGGAUCAGAGGCCUGCUCUCUCCACUCUGGAUCAGAGGCCUGCUCUCCCCACUCACUCUGGAUCAGAGGAUCAGAGGCCUGCUCUCUCCACUCUGGAUCAGAGGCCUGCUCUCCCCACUCUGGAUCAGAGGCCUGCUCUCCCCACUCACUCUGGAUCAGAGGAUCAGAGGCCUGCUCUCUCCACUCUGGAUCAGAGGCCUGCUCUCUCCUCUCCCCACUCUGGAUCAGAGGAUCAGAGGCCUGCUCUCCCCACUCUGGAUCAGAGGCCUGCUCUCCCCACUCUGGAUCAGAGGCCUGCUCUCCCCACUCACUCUGGAUCAGAGGAUCAGAGGCCUGCUCUCUCCACUCUGGAUCAGAGGCCUGCUCUCUCCUCUCCCCACUCUGGAUCAGAGGAUCAGAGGCCUGCUCUCUCCACUCUGGAUCAGAGGAUCAGAUGCCUGCUCUCUCCUCUCUCCACUCUGGAUCAGAGGCCUGCUCUCCCCACUCACUCUGGAUCAGAGGCCUGCUCUCCCCACUCACUCUGGAUCAGAGGCCUGCUCUCUCCCCACACUCUGGAUCAGAGGCCUGCUCUCCCCACUCUGGCUGACUUUCCCCACUCCCUCCACUUCCAUUUGACAGUUUUGACUCCCCUACACAGACUUUUGAUUGAUCAUUCACUAUGA
rnacentral:lncRNA from 1 species